UACGGAGGAUCCAAGCGUUAUCCGGAUUUACUGGGUUUAAAGGGUGCGUAGGCGGAUUGAUAAGUUAGAGGUGAAAUGUCCGAGCUCAACUCGGGAACUGCCUCUAAUACUGUUGAUCUAGAGAGUAGAUGCGGUAGGCGGAAUGUAUGGUGUAGCGGUGAAAUGCUUAGAGAUCAUACAGAACACCGAUUGCGAAGGCAGCUUACCAAUCUAUAUCUGACGUUGAGGCACGAAAGCGUGGGGAGCAAACAGG
rnacentral:rRNA from 1 species